CCAGGGCGGCUUAGAAUAAGGGGUUUUCUGGAAGUCGCCACAGGGAGGCGUGGAACGAAUGGCCGACGUGCUCUACACGUCUCCUUCAGCAGCGUGAUAAACUGCAGAGACAUUCCUGGAGUAGAGUCUCGAUUGCUGCACACAUUCUACCUACAAGACACUUAGAGGUGAUAGCCACAUAUACAAGAGUUUGUGCAAUCGCCAUGCCCGCAGAUCCACGUACUUCGUAUCCAGAUGGCACACCAUUUCAUUGCAUAUCCGCCUUAACGAGUGUAACAGGGCGUGGAAGCUUCCGGCCACCACUAACACCACUUGCAAACGGGAAAAAAUAAUAAGGAAAAAAGAAAUAUAAGAAAAAAAAAAAGCAAAGGGAAAUAACUAAAAUAAGAUAAAAUCAAAUAAUUUUAUAUCAACAUUAAACUUUUGUUAUGAGAUAUUCUAAAUAGAAAAAAAUAAAUGAAAUAAAGAAAAGGAUAGGAAAUGACCAACUGAAGAUUCUUGUUUGUAAAGAGGACAGCAGGAGAGCAAAACAGGGAGUUCCAAAGAGAAGUGUUAUGAGAGCUUCUGAAGGAGUCCACGUGUGCCUUCCACCUUGGCCACCUGCAAGAGACACGCCUUCCUGACCUCCUUAUCU